UACGGAGGGUGCAAACGUUGCUCGGAAUCAUUGGGCGUAAAGCGCACGUAGGCGGCCGAUUAAGUCGGGUGUGGAAGCCCUGGGCUCAACCCAGGAAGUGCACUCGAAACUGACCGGCUUGAAUAUGGAAGAGGGUCGCGGAAUUCCCGGUGUAGAGGUGAAAUUCGUAGAUAUCGGGAGGAACACCAGUGGCGAAGGCGGCGACCUGGGCCAAUAUUGACGCUGAGGUGCGAAAGCGUGGGGAGCAAACAGG
rnacentral:rRNA from 1 species